rnacentral:rRNA from 1 species
UACGAAGGGGGCUAGCGUUGCUCGGAAUGACUGGGCGUAAAGGGCGCGUAGGCGGAUUGUACAGUCAGGCGUGAAAUUCCCGGGCUCAACCUGGGGGCUGCGCUUGAGACGUGCGAUCUUGAGUGGGGAAGAGGGUCGUGGAAUUCCCAGUGUAGAGGUGAAAUUCGUAGAUAUUGGGAAGAACACCGGUGGCGAAGGCGGCGACCUGGUCCUUGACUGACGCUGAGGCGCGAAAGCGUGGGGAUCAAACAGG